AGCUGUGUGCUGGAAGGGGGGAAACUAUCGUGGCAGCAGAGCAGCAGAGAUAUAAGUGUAGCUCGCUGGGACUCCGUGGCCAGCCGUCUGUCACUUUUACCGCGGACCAUUUGUCUGUCAUUAACGAGAAAUGGGAGAGGCAGGAUUCAUUUUUUUGCACAGUUGCACUGCAUGAAUGUGUCGCGUAAUGCGACCGAGAUGAGCUGCAUUUGGGAGGAAAUAUUCAUGGUUCGGGACGGUUUUGUUGGAGUAGCUUGUUGCUAGCUCUGUGCUGGCUAACGUUACUUCGUAACGCAUUCGUUAAGGAUGCUACGGUGGAUACGACAGCAGCUGGGCUUUGACCCCCCUCAUCAGAGUGACACCAGGACGGUUUAUGUUGCAAACCGUUUCCCCGACCAUGGCCACUACAUACCGCAACGCUUUGCUGACAACAGAAUCAUCUCUUCCAAGUACACAAUUUGGAAUUUUGUCCCUAAGAAUCUGUUUGAGCAGUUCAGAAGGAUAGCCAACUUCUAUUUUCUUGUUAUCUUCCUUGUACAGUUAAUGAUAGACACCCCAACUUCCCCAGUCACCAGUGGCCUGCCUCUCUUUUUUGUGAUCACAGUGACUGCCAUAAAACAGGGCUACGAGGAUUGGCUUAGACACAAAGCGGACAACGAGGUGAAUGGAGCUCCAGUGUUUGUGGUUCGCAGUGGAAGUCUGGUGCAGACAAGAUCCAAGAACAUCAGGGUGGGGGACAUUGUUCGUGUGGCUAAAGAUGAGACGUUCCCAGCUGACCUGGCGUUGCUGUCGUCAGAUCGUGGAGAUGGCACCUGCCACAUCACCACAGCCAGCCUCGAUGGAGAGACCAACCUUAAGACUCACUACUCUGUGGCCGAGACAGCAGUGUGUCAGUCGGUGUCCCAACUGGAGUCCCUGCAGGCUGUGGUGGAGUGUCAACAACCAGAAGCCGACCUGUACAGGUUUGUCGGUCGGAUUACGGUGACUCAGCAUGGAGAGGAGAUAGUCAGACCGCUGGGUCCAGAAAAUUUGCUGCUGCGAGGAGCCAGGUUGAAAAAUACCAAAGAGAUUUUUGGUGUGGCUGUUUACACAGGAAUGGAGUCCAAGAUGGCCCUCAACUAUAAGUGCAAAUCCCAGAAACGCUCUGCAGUAGAGAAGUCCAUGAACACCUUCCUAAUCAUCUACCUGGGCAUCUUGCUGUUUGAGGCCGUCCUCAGCACUAUCUUGAAGUAUGCCUGGGAAGUUGAGAAAAACUGGAAAGAGCCUUUCUACAACCAAAAGACUGAACAAGAGAGAAACAGCAGUCCGAUCUUGAAGUUCAUCUCAGACUUCUUGGCGUUUUUGGUCCUCUACAACUUCAUCAUCCCCAUCUCACUCUACGUUACUGUGGAGAUGCAAAAGUUUCUGGGCUCCUUUUUCAUUGGCUGGGACUUGGACCUUUACCACGAGGAGAGCGACCAGAAAGCUCAGGUCAACACCUCUGACCUCAAUGAGGAGCUGGGCCAGGUGGAGUAUGUGUUCACAGAUAAGACGGGUACGCUGACAGAAAAUGAGAUGCUGUUUCGUGAGUGUUCAAUUAACGGAACCAAGUACCGCGAAGUCAACGGUAAACUGGUACCAGAAGGAAUGACUGACGAUUCACCUGAUGGUUCCAUGCCUCACCUGAUCGGUGAGGAAUUAUUAUUUCUUAAGGCAGUGUCAUUGUGUCACACGGUUCAUAUCAGCUACGACCAGCCAGACUGCCUGGUUGGAGGAGGAGACCCAUUUUCCCAUGCAAACGGUUUCUCUUCCAAUCACAUGGAAUACUAUGCCUCUUCACCGGACGAGAAAGCUUUAGUAGAGGCCACAAAGAGGAUCGGAGUGGCCUUUGCUUGCAGCAGUGGAGAUACCAUGGAGAUCAAAACAUUUGGCAAAUCAGAGAAAUACAAACUGCUCCAUGUGUUAGAGUUUGAUUCUGACCGCAGGAGGAUGAGCGUCAUACUGCAGACUCCCUCAGGUGGCCAAGUGCUAUUUACCAAGGGUGCAGAGUCGGCCAUCUUGCCUUUCACUACCAGUGGAGAGAUAGAAAAGACGAGACUGCAUGUUGACGAAUUUGCCUUGAAAGGUCUGCGAACCUUGGUUGUAGCGUGUCGCCACUUCAGCCCAGAGGAGUACAUUGAUGUGGACAGCCAUCUGAACGCUGCCCGCACUGCACUGCAGCAGAGGGAGGAGAGGCUGCAGGAGGCCUUCAGCUACAUCGAGAGAGACCUGCAUCUGCUAGGAGCAACGGGGGUUGAGGACAAGCUCCAAGACAAAGUCCAGGAGACCAUUGAAGCUCUGCGGCUGGCAGGGAUCAAAGUAUGGGUGCUGACAGGGGACAAACAUGAGACGGCAGUCAGCGUCAGCCUGUCCUGUGGCCACUUCCACAGGACCAUGAAUAUCCUGGAGCUUCUGCAACAACGUUCUGAUAACGAGUGUGCUGAGCAGCUCCGCAGAUUGGCCAGGAGGAUAAAAGAGGACCAUGUUAUACAGCACGGUUUAGUUGUGGAUGGGGCCAGUCUUUCCCUAGCGUUGAGGGAACACGAGAAGCUCUUUAUGGAAGUGUGUAAAAACUGCUCAGCUGUGCUGUGCUGCCGCAUGGCCCCACUGCAGAAAGCUAAGGUGGUGCGUCUUUUUAAAACUUCCCCUGAGAAACCCAUCACACUGGCUAUUGGGGAUGGAGCCAAUGAUGUCAGUAUGAUACAGGAAGCUCACGUGGGCAUAGGUAUCAUGGGUAAGGAGGGUCGUCAGGCCGUGAGAAACAGUGACUAUGCAAUUGCCAGAUUUAAGUUCCUGGCUAAACUUCUGCUGGUCCACGGUCACUUCUACUACAUUCGAAUAGCUACGCUUGUACAGUACUUUUUCUACAAGAAUGUGUGUUUUAUCACGCCUCAGUUUUUAUACCAGUUCUUCUGUCUGUUUUCGCAACAAACUCUGUACGACAGUGUUUAUCUGACACUGUACAACAUCUGCUUCACCUCGCUGCCCAUCCUGGUGUACAGUCUGUUUGAACAGCUGGUCCAUCCACACGUACUGCAGAACAAACCUGGCCUGUACAGGGACAUCAGCAAGAACUCCCUGCUGUCGUUCCGAACUUUCCUGUACUGGACUCUGUUGGGCUUCUGUCACGCCUUCAUCUUCUUUUUUGGAUCCUAUAUACUGAUGGGAGAGGACACCACUCUUAUGGGCAAUGGACAGAUCUUGCGAGCUAACAGGCAGCUGAUGUUUGGGAACUGGACGUUUGGAACGCUGGUCUUUACUGUCAUGGUCAUCACAGUCACAUUAAAGCUUGCUUUAGAGACUCAUUUCUGGACUUGGAUGAACCAUUUUGUGACGUGGGGUUCGAUUGGCUUCUACUUCAUUUUCUCCCUCUUCUAUGGAGGCAUCAUCUGGCCGUUCCUCCACACCCAGGACAUGUACUUUGUAUUUGUACACCUGCUGUCCAGCGGUUCAGCCUGGUUUGCCAUCAUCAUCAUCGUCAUAACUUGCCUCUUUCCUGAUGUGAUUAAAAAGGUCUUCUAUCGACAUCUGCAGCCCACGAGCACACAGAAGAGUCAGAUGGAAGAGGGUGAGGGUUCAGUCGGCCCAGAAUAUGACCCUGUUAAAGCCCAGCGGAGCCCAGGGGAGGACAAUUGGCACCUGCUAGCUGCUUAUCCUCCCCCUGCUGUUCCCGGCCCAGACCCCUGCUCCCCUAGUCUCUAUCAGCCCCCCAGGCGCAGGCCCUCAGCUGUGUGGAGUCCAUGUGCUGCUAUCAACAUGGGCAGAGCGGCUGUUCCCGCCUGGCCAGCCUCCUGGAGCAAAUGACCAGGCAGUGUCAGGCCAGCACCAAUCAUUGCCACACAUCCAGCCGCAGCAACAGGUCUUGGAGCGACACGGAGAACUCUUAUUCCAACGAUCGAAGCAUCCUGACGCUGUCGCCCAUCGAGGCCACCCACUGUUGACUCCCAGGGCCGCUGACUCUAACAUGCAGAGCUGGGGGAGAGCUUCCACUCAACAUAAUCACCCCAACGCCCUGCCACCAUUUUAGAAACCUACUUCAGUUUAAGCUCAAUGCAUUCUCACCUUGAUGCAACACUGACGCAUGUGAAACCAAAGGAUUCGGCUCGGUGCAAGCAGGCUUCUUCUCCUUCACCAAUUAGUUCUUCUCGAGUGAAUGCAUUUCUAGUAGAAAGUUUAAGAAAGACGUCAGAUAAGAGCUGCAACAUGAGUAAAUAAAACAUGAAUUGUGGAGCAACUCACAUGGCAUGAAACAACAUCUGUGGAGCUACUCCUGUAGGAAGAUCCAGUCAGCAUUUGAGCAGCAAGAAGUCAAGAGUCCUGCUGCUUACUCAGUUCUCGCGAGUCCUGCACAAGUGUCUGAAAAAAGCAUAUUCAAAUUCAGGACCUUUUUUUAUAUUAUAAUAUAAUAUAAAGUUGAAGAAUACAUGUCAGCUCAAAGGUGCUAUCCUCUGAGAUCAGCCCCGUUACAUGAACUCUCAUGCAGCUAUUUAUUUUUCAAUCUCAGCACAGUUGCCAAACUUACACAUUUUAGGCACAGAAUGAAGAUCCCUGACGAUCUGGUCUACUGCCAGGCAGCAGCUGCUCAAAGCAUGGCAGCCUGAGGGCUGGAACGUAACCGAGGUGGUUUGGACCUGCCACUAACCUCAACACAGCACUGAGGUGGCUCAUCGACACCAGUCCCUAGGAUCGACCAUGUAGCACCAGGACAGAAGAUCCGCAAAGUCACACAUCAUUAGGAGUACAUCUCAGAGGUGUCAUUGUUGCUUCCACAAACUUCCUCUCUGAGCUGUCGGCCCCGCGGCACCUUCUUUUUCAUUCAGAUGGAAAGGGAAAAAGCUGACUACCUGUAGCUUUAAGAGCCUUUCUGGUUCUGUUAACGUCUAAACUACAGUACUCCAUAAGAUGCUGUACAAACAGACUCAUCUCUAACAUGGAACCAAAGACCAAAGGAUUCAGACUGGAGUGUUUAUUUUUGUGCCUGAUUGUACAGAAGCUUAUACCGUUGUCAAGAAGACUAUUGAUAUUGUUCGUGCUGCUUUCUCGUCUGACUUUUCAGGCCUAUGUCUCCCAGUGGGCGUUGGUCUGAAGGAGACCGAGUGGGGUUUGUUUAAAAAGCCAUACGUUGUCAAGAAGAUUUAACUUUUGAUAGAUUAUUGAAGGUACUGCAGAUAGAAGCUGUUUGAGCCUAUUGUUGUUACUUUGUUUGGAAACUUGUUCCCCUUAAAUGCCUUUUCUCACUCGGCCCGGAUAGCAAAGAGAUCUCUGCAUUAAAGACCAUGAUGCUCAGGGAAUAUUUUGAGGUAACAGGAUCAGUGUUGAAGGCUGACUUAAUGAGGUUAUAGAGGUAGAAUUAUCCCACUCAGUUGCCUAAAAAUAUUACCCAAGUAUUGGGUCAGAUAAUGGUACCAUUUUUGUUUCAGCAAGACAAAAAUGGCCUAAAUGGCGAGAUGCUUCUUACAAAUCACGGCUGAUGCAUGCUGACCCAGACAGCAGAAUGUCUCUAUUUUUAGAUGGAUAGAUGUAUCAGAUAUUUAUAAUUCAGCUCCAGAGAUGGAAAGAAAAGCAGAGCGUUUGCACAAGUCACAUAUCAAAAUCACAUUUUGUUGUCUCAAUUCAGUGCUCAUUUGUCACCAUUGUAAUCAUCUGAAUCAUGUUUUUGCUGUUACGUUGUUCUAUCCACCGUGUGUGUGUGUGUGUGUGUGUGUGUGUGUGUGUGUGUGUGUGUGUGUGUGUGUGUGUGUGUGUGUGUGUGUGUGUGUGUGUGUGUGUGUGUGUGUGUGUGUGUUGUAUAGCGGCCAUGUUGUAAGCUCUUUGUACGAUCACUGUGGCCACAUGCUGCCCGCAGGUCAAAUGGUUUUCUUUGAUGCUUGGUUUGACCCCUUUUCUUCCAAAAACAAAAAAGGUGAAAUAAGGAAAAGUGUAAAGGUUUUUACUUGUAGGAGAAUUCAUUUUGGCUCCAGAAGUGUAGAAAAGUUUCAAGACAACCGUUUUAAACUUGACAUCAACAACAACCACACAACAAUGACCAGUACAUGCAACAGGGAAAAUACAGAGUCAUAGGAAGUUUCUGUUGCUGCGGUUACGGUUUAGAGAAAUCUGAGUCAAUCAUGUUUUUGUCAGUCAAUUUAUUUUCUUGAUGUUUAUUUUCUAUAUGGUACACGUUGUUUGAUGCAUACCUGGGUCUGUUAUAUCCUUUCUGUUAAUACAGGCGCAACUGGCAAUGAAAGUGUCUAUUUAUUAUUGCGGUACAUUUUUUCUGUUUGUGUUGAACAUUUCUUACGUAUCAAUAUAACGUGUGUCCUGUACGUGGCCUGAAUGCAGCAACCUCUCGCAAUGUUUUACUUGAUCUGAGACAUGUAAUCAGGAGGUAACCUGAAAGAUUCAUGUUUGUAAUCUUAAAGGACAUUUUCAAGUAGCAAAGGACACCUUCAAACUUCCAGUUAGAUCACUCCAUACUACAACCCAGCAGAUGAUGAUCAGGCCUCAUUUACACAGGAUAUGAUCUUAAUCAUUUGAAGUCAUAUCUGCUAUUAAAAUGUCCACCUGGAUAUACCUGUAAUUUGGACCUUGAUUUAGGAAAAAUACAUGUUAAUGGUGUUUAAAAGGGGCACUUCACUAGCUUUACUCAGUUUACUCAUCCAGGAGAGCAGUACUCGGCCUGUGACAGUUAUUUCCUCUGUGGCUCUAAACGAAGCUUUCUGAAGUCUGAGAAGUCAGACAAAUGAGUACUUGAGGCUUCAAAUAAUUGACAGAAAACCAUCAUUAUAAACUAGAUGCAUGGAGUUUGAGAGAUGAGGGCAUAUGGAGUGGCUGUUAGGAUGCUAUGUAGAUGCAUUAUGGGAAUUGUAGGACCAGUGUUUCUUUAGAUUGACAAAUGCCUUACUUAACCUCUGGAUAACCUGGCUCCUGCUACAUUACAGCAGAGGCAUUGAUAUCUUGACUUAAUCACUAGAUCCUGCAACAUUUGGAAGGCCCUCCCAGCCCGGCCGACAUAUUUCCAACUUGCUUUCUGUUAAAGCAUGAGCUGGGAUAACCCUUCUGAUAACAAGAGUGGUUUUUUUUUCUUUUUCUUUCAAACUCUAUAGUAGACAGCUUCUCCAGAGCCACAGGAGACAUCAUACAUUUAUUUCACAGUGCAAUUCCACUGAAGGUCGGUAUAUAACAAUAUGAAAUCCUCACCCAGCCCAAAACGUUUGACGUGCUAGGGUAAGAAAACUAAACUCCUCUUUGGAAUCAGUAAUAAAACUCCAGAGCAGGGGGGAGAGUCCUUCCUGACCAAAGACAGAAACACCUGCAGUGUCAGUGCUGUUCUAAAGCCCCCCCCCCCCCCCCCCCCCCCCCCCCCCCCUUUACUCACCUUUGGAAUCCAAAGUGCUCAAAAUUAGGACUUUAUGACAAAGGUAAUAUAACUAAAUACUAACCUAAUGUGUAGGUGUGUCCUCUUAACACGGAUAUACAAAUAAGCAACAAGUAGCAGUUACAUGAAACAAAACAAUGCUUCCAUCAAGACUUAAAAACAUAAAAACAAAAACCAAUAGGGUUAUUUCACAAUGUCUUUAGGUUUAUAAUUUUGAACUAUUUGGGUUUCUAUACUUGCAUGUCUUAUUUAAUUGCAUUUUUUUUCAGACUGUAUAUUCAGAUACUCAUUUAUUGUUUUGUUUGUUUUUUAAAUGGGGAAUGUAGUCCAGAGAGUACUGUCUUUUCUGAUGUUCACGCAGAAAAUAUGCUAGAUAUUUUUUUAAGGUCAGAUGUGACAUAAGUUAAGAUCAAGACUUGAUUUUCCAAAGCAUCGCAACACCAAUGUCAUCUAAUCUUCAUUACAGAGAGCUGCACGGUUUGGAUUUAAGUCCUCUGGGAGAAUUGUAGAAGAAGCAGAUUACUCGGCCACAUAAUUCAAAAAAUUGUCAUUUAAUAUUUUGUCAAGGCUUGAGUACAGAUGAGGAUCACGUCAUCCUUAGAAGCACCAUCUGAGUUUAAUUGGAUACCUUACUAAGAGCUGUUCAAUUCUGUCUAGAGAUGUGGUUUUAACCCAAGUACUGCUGCUUCAGGCAAUAUUGGCCAUUAACUGAAUGUGAAAAGACCAAAUAAAAAAUGGAAAUUGGUCACUGUUUUCUGUCUUUAUAUAUAGUGUAUAUAAGUAACCAUAUCAUCCCGAGACCAGAUCCUGAACUAUUCCUUUGCCAAAUGUAUGGUUGCUACUAUAAAUUACACUUAGGAACAAACACAGUUUUCAGAAAUGCUGUCAGUGCAGAGAUGCUUUUGGAAAACCCAGUUUUGCAGACCUUAAUUAAAUUAAGGUUUCUGUGAUCUAAUCAGCUAAAAACAGGAAUCUAAAUUAAAAUGUCAACCGAUCAGUUUUCUGCCGCAGAAUGUCCGGUGACUCAGUAUCAGCCAGAAGGACUUGAGGCUGCAGAUCGAUGCUGAACGGUUUAUUGAAAUCAUUUUUAUUGUCUCCUUUUCUCAGUAACUCAUGCUGCACCAGACUUAAUAAACCACCAUCGUAACUCUUUUGUUGACUGAUAUAUGUUGCUGUCCGUCUGUCCGUCCGUCCCUCCUCCCCUUGUCUGUAAAUCUGUCUUAAGUUGAUGUUUAUGAAGAUGCUGUUCUAUUUACGAAAUAAAUACAUUUUUAAGAAAA